AUAUAUAUAUCAACCCUCUUUUGUUGAGUGGUUUGGAUGUGAGGGCUUGCUGGAUUCUUCUUGAAAAAAGUUCAGCUCCCUUAAAAUACAUUAGCAGAACAACCUGUUCAUUGGUGUGAUAACUAUCUACACUACUGAGUGCAAUGGCUAGUUCAGCUUUCUAACAGUCUUUGGACAAAUUCAUCAUUA
rnacentral:misc_RNA from 1 species